rnacentral:rRNA from 1 species
CGACUAUGAGGCAGCAGUAGGGAAUCUGAUGCAAUGGGGGAAAGCCUGGCGCAGCCAUGCCGCGUGAAUAAUGAUGGUUUUAGAAUUGUAAAAUUUUUUCAGCGGGGACGAUAAUGGUAGUACCCGCAGAAGAACCCCCGGCUAACUUCCCAGCAGCAGCCGCGGUAAUUAGAAGGGGGCUAGCGUCGCUCGGAAUUACUGGUAGUAAAGGGGUAGUAGGCGGAUGUCUUAGUCAGAGAAAUAAGCCCAGGGCUUAACCUGGGAACUGCCUUUGAUACUGGGCAUCUUGAGUACGGGAGAGGUGAGUGGAACUCCGAGUGUAGAGGUGAAAUUAGUAGACAUUCGGAAGAACACCAGUGGCGAAGGCGACUCACUGGCCCGUUACUGACGAGGAGGCGCGAAAGCGGGGGGAGCAAACAGGAUUAGAUACCCUGGUACUCCCCGCUAUAAACGGUGAGU